AGAGUUUGAUCCUGGCUCAGGAUGAACGCUAGCUACAGGCUUAACACAUGCAAGUCGAGGGGAAACGAUGCGGAAGCUUGCUUCUGCAGGCGUCGACCGGCGCACGGGUGAGUAACGUGUAUCCAACCUGCCCCGAGGUAAGGAAUAAUCCGUAGAAAUGCGGUCUAAUACCUUAUGUGCUCCGAAGAGGACAUCUGAUUUGGAGUAAAGAUUUAUCGCCUUGGGAUGGGGAUGCGUCUGAUUAGAUUGUUGGCGGGGCAACGGCCCACCAAGUCAUCGAUCAGUAGGGGUUCUGAGAGGAAAGUCCCCCACAUUGGAACUGAGACACGGUCCAAACUCCUACGGGAGGCAGCAGUGAGGAAUAUUGGUCAAUGGGUGAGAACCUGAACCAGCCAAGUAGCGUGCAGGAUGACGGCCCUAUGGGUUGUAAACUGCUUUUGUACGGGGAUAAAGGAGCCCACGUGUGGGUUUUUGCAGGUACCGUACGAAUAAGGACCGGCUAAUUCCGUGCCAGCAGCCGCGGUAAUACGGAAGGUCCGGGCGUUAUCCGGAUUUAUUGGGUUUAAAGGGAGCGCAGGCCGUCGGUUAAGCGUGUUGUGAAAUGUAUGCGCCCAACGCCUGCACUGCAGCGCGAACUGGCUGACUUGAGUACGCACGACGUUGGCGGAAUUUGCCGUGUAGCGGUGAAAUGCUUAGAUAUGGCGANACUCCNAU
rnacentral:rRNA from 1 species